AACCGUUUUGGAAGUAAUUACUCUCUCUUCCACUUUUUUAAUUACUUUACUCUCUCUCCCUGUUAAUAUACAUAACAUAGCUGACAUAUACAUAACAUUCUGUGUAUAUGUUGGAAUUUUUGUAAAAUGUUUAGGGAGUUGAAAUUUUUUGUAAUAUUGGAAACAUAAGUUGUGUAUCUGUGUAAGUUUUAGAAAAUAAAAUGAUAACGCCUUAGGGGAUUUAUCUAGAUAAGUUAAAGUUGGAAUCAUAGAUAUCACUAAUGAUUAUAAAAGUUUGGAUUGGGCUUUUUGCCCUUUUGUGAUCUGCCCAGCCUUGGACUGUAUUCUUAAUGGACUUUGGGUCCAUUUUUCAGCAUGUAUACCAGCUCCAUUUUUCCUUUGUUUCCUUGUAUAUAUGUUGCAUAUCCAUGUAUACAAAUCAGUGCACUUACUCCUAUUUCAUUACGCAUCAUAUAUGAGCAUAUACCAGCUACUUUCGACCUGUACAUCCCAUAUAUAUAGAGUAUUAAGUGUAUACCAGCAAAUUUUUUUGUACAUUAAUCCAUUUUUGACAUGAAAGAAUGGGCGUGCCUGAAGUAAUGCAAGGAUCGGAGUCCCGUGGACUCAGUGAGGCAGAUUCAUGCAUAGAAAAAGAGAAAAGGAUUAGCCUCAACGAAUCAAACUUUUAAAGAACAAACUUGAAUCACAAAUAUACUCAAAUACGCAUAUUGGAACCAAAUAGAGAUAGAUCGUCAUUAUUCUUGAUUUUAAAUAUUCAACGAGAAAACACUUUAUAGAUUCGAAGACAUUUUACUUAAGUCUAAAGUCAAGUGAGAAGGCAAGGAACCAAGGACAAGUGCAUAAAUAAAGAAGAACCCGAGCUUGAAAGAGAAGUUAAUUUUCACACAAGAUGCCUAUUCCAGAUUUCUCUUCUUUUUAACCAUAUGAAUUCCAAAGACAUGGGCAAUACUAAUUUUUGCAAGAAGUAACAAAGCCUUGAAUGAAGCUAAAUCAGUCCAUCUCAUAGUCAAUUAUGUACCCGCAAAAUAAUCUGUAGAUCAGUAUGCAAACUUAUUAACACCUACUCAGGAAAACGUGAUCUUGCAGUAUGCUUAAUAUUUACUUUAUGUCUCUCUAAUGCAACCCAGAGUUGAACAACAUGAUCAAGUAAAGAAAACAAAACUUGGUUCUUUACGAAGAAAUUAGAGCGUAGCUAAACUAAACUUCACGUUUUUGGGAGAAACUAAUAGCUACCCCGAGGAGCACGAUUCGUAACCCAACAUGAUCUGGUUGUUCUGAUCGCCAUCUCUACAAGGAGACGAAAAAGCAUGCUCAAUCAAACAAAGAGAUAACACCGGGCUGAUAGGAAAACAUCGAUGACUAACACGAGAUUGCAACGACAAUCUUCAGUUAACGGACUUAACAGGGGAUUCACAUUUAGAUCCUUACCAUGCCAUUCUAGUAAUCAAACCAACACCCCAGAAAGCUAAUCCAAUCAAAUAAAAUCAAAUAAGUAAUGAGUAAUUAAGAUGAGAAUCGGGGGAGUAUCACCUUUUUAGACGCAAGAACCGGGAUGACGAGAUGACAAAGACGAGUUCAAUAAUCAAAAUUUAGCUUGAUUUUUUCUGGAAUUUAAAUGUCUGCAAUGAAUUUCUCGGUUACGUGAGAUUAGAGAAAUGCUCGUCCAAAAUCUUCAAGUUUUUCUCCAAAAUCUGCUCUUUUAUAGAUAACUUUGAGUUGUUUUGAGGGGGGGGGGGGGGGGGGGG
rnacentral:lncRNA from 1 species